rnacentral:lncRNA from 1 species
AAAGAUCCUUAUUACCAGAUAAGUGAUCAGAUGCUCCAGAAUCUAGAAUCCAGGGUCCAAGAAAAGAUGUGUGGGUAAGGCAGGCAGAGGCAUUACCAGGUUGGGCAACAGAGGCAAUAGAAGCCUGAGAUGUCUGAGAUGCGGAGGAGCUCGGAGGCUGAGGCAGCAGAGAAUCAGAGGACUGGGCCAUAUGGGCAGUGCGAGGAGGUCUUCCAUGUAACUGAUAGCAACGAUCGCGAGUGUGGCCAAGUUUAUUGCAAUAGGUGCAAUGAGGACGUUGGCCUCUACCUCGGGUACCACUGCGUCCUCCUCGAGAGGUAGUUUGAGAAACUAACACAGAAGAAUCUGAAGCGCUAUCAGAUGGCAAAGUCUGAGUGGACAAGAUACGGAGGAGGCGAGCAAACACAUCAUCCAAGGACGGAACUGAUGAACUACCAAGAAUCUGAUCACGAAUAGGCUCAAGAUCCGGACGGAGGCCGAUAAGAGUACGGACCAUGAAGAACUUGUCAAGCUGUGUUUGUUGAGCCCCAACAUCAGGAGUAAGAGGCAUCACAGUCAAGAACUGCUCCUUAAGAGAGGCAAUCUGGCCAAUAUAAGUAGAUAGAUCCAAGUCCUGUUGGCUGAGAUGGACAAUAGCAGAAGCCACCUUAUAAAGACGCUGGAUAUCAUUCGUGUAUAAUCCUUUGGCCUGAGUCCAAAAUUUAAAACAAGUUUUAUAGGCCUGAAGAUGAAGAAGAAUUCGGGGAUCAACCGAUUGCCAUAAUACACUACACAACUGUGCAUCUAUCUUCCUCCACUGUACACAGUCGACCUCAGGGAUAUCUGCCUCCUGUGUAAUCAAGUGAUCCUCAUAUCCUUGACCCAUAAACCAAAGUUCAACAGAGGCAGACCAGGAAAGAUAAUUUUCACUCCCAACUAAUUUCUCCGAAGUAAUCAUAGGAGAUCCAGAUAUGACAGAGGAAAAAAUGGAAGCUUUAGUAGCCAUAUCCACUUAUCUGGAGAAUGAAGUAUGUUUGGAUCGAAGAGAGCCCUAAUACGGCUUCAGAUUGCAGCGUGGCACCACCGAAAAAGGGAGACGGCCUCAGAUCGAGGUGUGGUACCACCAGAAAGGGAGAAGAACACUUCCCAAGGCACGUGCAGGGAUUGGAGUGGAGAAAAAGUGGUCGGAGCUUCGCCGGAAAGACUGUUUGGAGGGCCGACGGAGACAAAAAUCCCCAAAAGAGGUACGUGCAGGGCUCGGAUGGGAGAACCAGGGAGGUGGCAAGGCUGAUCGGCGUCAGGCGAAGCUGGAGGAGGAGGCGCGUCGCCGGAAAAGCUCUCACGCGCCCCCACGCGCCGGCGCGUGAGAUUCAACCGCCGGCCGGAAAAUUGCGCGUGGCUGCUCUUUUGGUGCUGGUGCCUUCACAAAAGUUGGAGAUCUCCUCCAGGCGCUCCUUCUGGUAUGGUCGGUUUCGGAAAAAUAGGUCGCCGGAAAUUUCGCCGGAAAGUUCGCCGGAAAAUUUGCCAGCGGUGAGUGGUUUCUAACGACAAUCCGACUGACCGGAAAGUAUUGGGAGAUGGGGAAGGUGACCGGAAAGAAACACGGUCACCGGAAGGUUUCCCGGAGUUGAUGACACGGAAAACAGGAAAGAAUUAGGUUUUCUUCCUUGGCUCUGAUACCAUGUUGAGAGAGAGAGAGAAAUGAGAAAAACCUUAUUCACAUUCAUUGUAAUCUCUACUUACAAUUGAGAGAUAUAUAUAUACAAGGCUAGGAGUCCUAACUACCAUACAUGUGACCUAUAUUAACAAGGAAAGAUAGUAUACUAUACAUACAUUAUAUUCAACAAUAGUUUUAAAUGAAAGGAAGCUAACGUGGCACCGAUUUAUCGGCAAUAUCGUUGAAAUAUUGGUAAAUUAUCAAAAUAUCGCCGAAAUAUCGACAAUAAAUGGAGAAAAAAAACGAAAAAAUCAGAUGGUCGAUAUUUCCAUCCUAUAUAUGUGUCAAGCCGUUCCGAUACUCGAUAUAUCACCAAAAUAUUGGCGAUAUAUAGUGAUAAUUUCGUCCUUGGCUAUUUAUAGUUGCAUUGAAUUCAAUAACUAGGACAUUAUUAAAGAGUUUUCAACUUCCCAUGAUUCGAAGUUAGGAUUCGAAGUUUUUGGUUAUGUUAUUGUCCCAUGUAGAUAACCCAUCUUUCCUCGACUUAAAGAGUUUAGUUGACUAAUACCACUCAAGGAAAUUAUGAUCAUUUCAGUUUUUGGGUGGUGAUUUGGAGAGUAGGAUUAUCAAGUUGAUUGGAGACUUUAGGGACUAUGAAAGUCUGAUUGGAGGUUGUCCAGCCAUGUGGAGAGCUAAAAAAUGAAGAAAAAAGUUUCAAAAGGGGCAAAAAAGGAGCAGACACCAAAGUUAGGAGAAGGAAAGGCGAAGACACCAAGAAAAAAUAAGGAAGAAAGGCAAGGUGAAGUAGCAAAAAAAAAAAAAAUUAAGACCAAGAAACUAAAGUAGCUCUGAUACCUAAUUGAUUGAAAAACAACUCUGAUAUUUGAUUAAAGAAUGGUACACAUGUAUAGUAGUGUCUAAGAGGCAAACACCCAAUUUACAGUUGUCCUCAUCACUAAUUUAUAGCUAUCCUAGUCAAUAAUUGACUGUUACAAUUAUCAUAAUUUGUAUAUUGAUUGACUAAUUCUACUAGCAAAUAUUAACAGGUAAUAUAUACCAUAUAUAGGUCCUUUAGAGUUGAUCAGGCCCUAAAUUAAGGGGAUUUUGUUGAUUUCCCACAAUUGGAUAAUCUUAUAUCCUCUCUCUUCCUUCUUCCAAAAAUCCUGACUCAAGAUUUUCUUUUCCUUCAAUUUUUCUGUACCAUUUUAUAUUCUUUAACUUAUUAGAUUAUAGACCAAGUUUAAUUUAGAAAAAAGAUUAAUUUUUCCAAUUUUAUUUUUGCAAUGGUCCAAUAAACUCAAUGGUAGUGUUUUUAGUUGUUAUUUUUAUUUUAUAUAUAUAUAUUUUCCUUUUUAGCUAAACCAAUGACUUUUAUAAGUUGUCUCUAUUUGUGAUUGUUAUGGAGAAGCUGUUUGGUUGAUCUAGUAUCACUUUUUGAUCGACUAUAAAACUAUUGUCAUCAUUUGAUACACGCAUAAUAAAUUCUUUAAACUGGAAUUCGUUUAUUCAAAACACUAUAAAUAAGACAACUGUUUUUUAGUAUACAUAUCCAAGCACAAGUAUAUGCUUAGACAACUUCAAGAAAAAAGGAAGAGGCAUUUAAACUAUCAUUUGAGUCAUCCCCAUGUUAGAUGAAUGUAUAUAAGUUAUCUAACUCCCUAUAGGAAUUUUAAACUUAAUACUAAAUUUUUUAAACUCUCCCGAGGAGAAAUAUCAAGAGGCAAUGUUUGGAUUGCAAAAAGUACUAGGAAAGGGACAAUAGUAGAAAAGAAUUCAAAUUCUCUUGUUUGGUUUACCCUUGAAAAUAAGAAAGAAACUCAAAUACAAUGAAAAUUAGUCAUAAAUAAUAAAUUUGGAGUAGCAUGUAGGAAAAUUUUAUUAAGUUCAAACCUAUUUUUAUUUUCCUCCACCCUUUUUUUCCCCAAAGUAUUCCUCUUUAUGCAUUUUUUCAUCAUAGUUUCAAAAAAAUCCAAAUGAUAUUAAUUUUUUUAAACAUGUUAGGAACAUGCUAGCAUAAUCUCACAGAAGAAACAUGAUUGGUAUUUAACUAUUUAUUUGAUUAUAUGAACAUUGCUAAUCUUGGUGCAGAACUGUUCAAAUUUGUUGUAGGAAAUAGACAUGGUUAAACAUAAGAAAUAAGCUAAAUGAGAAACAUGCUAAAAUUUUUUGAAAGAAAAGACCUAAUACGCAUUGAUCAUCACUUUUUUGAACAUAACAAAAUAAUGUUUAAAGGUAGAUCACAUGUUGUGGAGCCCUUACAAGGUGGGUUAUAAGGUUCAACUGGCACACAACUAUGGCUUAAUUCAUAUAGUAAGUAAAUUUACUUUCUGGGUAUUCUUUCAGAACUGUUAAGAGAGAGAGAGAAGAAAACCUUGAUUCUCAUUCAUUGUAUCUACUUACAAUUGAGAAAAUAUAUAUAUACAAGGCUAGGAGUCCUAACUACCAUACAUGUGACCUAUAUUAAAAAAUGAAAGAUUGUACACUAUAAAUUCAUUAUAUUCAACACUCCCCCUCAAGCUGGAGCAUAUACGUCAUAUGCACCAAGCUUGUUACAAAUGUAUUUAAUCCUAGGACCUCUAAGAGAUUUAGUGAAGAUGUCUGCUAGUUGAUCAUUUGAAUUAACAAAACUUGUAGCAACACAUCCUAAUGCGAUCUUCUCUCUAAUGAAGUGACAGUCAACUUCAAUAUGUUUGGUCCUUUCAUAAAAGACUGAAUUGGAUGCAAUAUGUAAUGCGGCCUGAUUAUCACAGAUGAGUUUCAUCUGUUCAUCCUUUCCAAAUCUCAACUCUCGAGGAAGAUGUCUCAACCAUAUGAGUUCACAUGUUGCCAAAGCCAUAGCUCGAUACUAUAAAUCUCAUGUUUAUUUUUAAAUAUAGAAAUUGUUAUUUUUUAGGCUAAUCCUUGGGCUAAAUUCUAUGUGUACAUAGUAUUCCUUUAUAGUAAGUGUUGUAAGUAAAUAGGAUUAUAAACUCUAAAAUGAUUAUGUAUAGAAAAUAUAAAGAACAUAUUUUCUCUUUAGCUUUACACACAUGGUAUCAAAGUAUCCUUUCUUGGGACUUUUUUUGUUUGUUGGUUCUUUAGAUUGGCAAUAUUUGUUUGUUCUAGUUGUUUGCCAGCUUUGUAAAAGACUAUCCUUCUAUUGGUUCUUCUAUUGUUUUUUGGGAAAUUAGUUGUGUGUGACCACCAUGUCUGGAAUUUCUAGUUGUUGGGAGAGAGAGAAAGAAGAAAAACCUUAAUUUCUCAUUCAUGUAAUGUCUACUUACAAUUGAGAUAUAUAUAUAUAUAUAUAUAUAUAUAUAUAUAUAUAUAUAUAUACAAGGCUAGGAGUCCUAACUACCAUACAUGUGUCCUAUAUUAACAAGGAAAGAUAAGAUACUAUAAAUACAUCAUAUUCAACACUCCCCCUCAAGCUGGAGCAUAUACGUCAUAUGCACCAAGCUUGUUACAAAUGUAUUUAAUCCUAGGACCUCUGAGAGAUUUAGUGAAGAUGUCUGCUAGUUGAUCAUUUGAAUUAACAAAACUUGUAGCAACACAUCCUGAUUCGAUCUUCUCUCUAAUGAAAUGACAGUCAACUUCAAUAUGCUUGGUCAUUUCAUGAAAGACUGGAUUGUAUGCAAUAUGUAAUGCGGCCUGGUUAUCACAGAUGAGUUUCAUCUGUUCAUCCUUUCCAAAUCUCAACUCCCGAAGAAGAUGUCUCAACCAUAUGAGUUCACAUGUUGCCAAAGCCAUAACUCGAUACUCAGCUUCAGCACUAGAUCUGGCCACUACAUCUUGUUUCUUACUCUUCCAAGAUAUUAGAUUACCUCCAAUAAAAACACAGUACCUUGAAGUGGAACGUCUAUCUGUGGGUGAGCCAGCCCAAUCUGCAUCUGUGUAACCAACAACCUGAGUAUGACCUCUGUUCUUGUACAACACACCUUGGCUUGGUGUACUUUUGAUAUAUCGAAGAAUGCGGAUUACGGCAUCCCAAUGGCUAUCACAUGGUGACUGUAGGAAUUGACUAACAACACUCAUAGGAAAAGAAAUGUCUGGACGAGUAAUGGUGAGAUAGUUCAAUUUACCUACGAGCAGUCGAUAUCUCCCAGGGUCUCCUAAAGGCUCCCCCUGUCCUGGUACAAGUUUGACAUUCGGAUCCAUAGGUGUGUCUAUCGGUUUACAGUCUAACAUACUAGUUUCUUCGAGGAUGUCUAAAGCAUACUUCCUUUGGGAAAGGACCACACCGGAACUGGAUUGAGCUAUCUCAAUUCCCAAGAAAUACUUGAGUUUCCCCAAGUCUUUGGUCUGAAAGUGGGUAAAAAGAUGUUGCUUUAGUUUCUGAAUACCAUCCUGAUCACUGCCUGUAAUGACGAUGUCGUCCACACAAACAACCAGAUAAAUACACUGCCCUAAGGAGUUAUGAUGAUAGAAAACUGAAUGGUCUGCUGUACUGCGAAGCAUGCCAAACUCUUGAACAACAGAACUAAAACGGCCAAACCAUGCUCGAGGAGAUUGUUUCAAGCCAUAUAAAGAACGACGUAACCUGCACACUAAACCAGACUCCCUCUGAGCAACAAAACCAGGAGGUUGCUCCAUAUAAACUUCCUCAGCAAGAUCACCAUGAAGGAAGGCAUUUUUAAUAUCCAACUGAUAAAGUGGCCAAGAACACAUAGCAGCCAUGGAGAGAAGCAAGCGGACAGAAGCAAUCUUGGCAACAGGGGAGAAUGUGUCACCAUAAUCAGAACCAUAAACCUGAGUAUAGCCUUUAACAACUAAGCGGGCCUUAAGGCGAUCAACCUGACCAUCAGGACCAACCUUAACUGCAUAGACCCAACGACAGCCAACUGUAGAUUUACCAAAGGGUAAAACAACAAGAUCCCAAGUGCCAUUAGAGUGCAGAGCAUCCAUUUCAUCCACCAUUGCUUGUCGCCAGCCUAGAUGGGAAAGAGCUUCAUGGGUGCUCUUUGGAAGAGAAAUAGAGGAUAUCGCAGAAACAAAAGCAGAAUAGGGUGAAGAUAAUCGAUGAUAACUCAAAAAAUUGUAAAUAGGAUGAGGAUUACGAGUAGAGCGAGUACCUUUCCGAAUAGCAAUGGGUAAAUCAUCAGGAGAAGGCAGAGCCGGGACAGCCGAAGGGAUAGGAAGUGAGUCAGCAGGUGCCUUAGCAAAAGGGAGAGGAGCAGCGACACGAGGGCGACGAUGAUAAAUCUGAAGUGGUCGAGGAGGCACAACAUCAGAUGGGGAGACAAUGGGAAGGGGCAAGACUUCAGAAACAGGAAGAGACUCAGAAGUGGUGGAAAAGAAUGGUGAGUCCUCAAAGAAAGUGACAUCAGCAGAGAUAAAGUAUCGAUGAGUCUCAAGGGAAUAACAACGAUAACCCUUCUGAAGUCUGGAAUAUCCCAAGAAGAGGCACUUCAUGGCUUUGGCGGAAAGCUUGUCCUGUCCAGGAGUGAGAAUAUGAACAAAACAAGUACAACCAAAGACACGAGGAGGAAAUAAAUAAAGUGGUUGGUCAGGGAAGAGAAGGAAAUGAGGAAUCUGAUCAUGUAAAACAGAGGAGGGCAUACGAUUAAUUAAAUAACAAGCGGUAAGAACAGCGUCCCCCCAAAAACCAAAAGGAACAUUACUAUGGAGGAAGAUAGUACGAGCUGUCUCAACAAGAUGUCGAUUCUUGCGUUCAGCUACCCCAUUUUGUUGAGGAGUAUGAGCACAAGAAGACUGAUGAAGAAUCCCAUUAUGAGACAUAAAUGAAGUAAAUGGAGCUGAAAAAUAUUCCCUGACAUUAUCACUGCGUAACACACGAAUAGAAAUAUUGAACUGGGUCUGGAUUUCAGCAUAAAAUUUCUGGAAAAUAGACAAUAACUCAGCUCGAUUUUUCAUUAAAAAUAACCAAGUACAUCGAGAAUAGUCAUCAAUGAAAGUGACAAAAUACUGAAAUCCUAAAGUAGACGCAGUCCGACAAGGACCCCAAACAUCAGUGUGGACAAGCUCAAAAGAAGACUUUACCCGAUUAUUCAAACGCUUUGGGAACGAGACACGAGUAUGUUUCCCAAGCUGACAUGACUCACACGAAAGCGACGACAAAGUGGAAAAACGAUGGACCAUCUUCUGGAACUUGGAGAGACUAGGGUGGCCCAAACGACUGUGAAUGAGGAGAGGAACAUCAGUGGAAAUGCAAACUGUAGGAGAUGAAUCUGAGGUGAGGUGAUAGAGGCCUUGAGACUCACGUCCUAUGCCAAUUGUCUUCCCCGUACUCCGGUCUUGCAAGGUCACAAAUUUAUCAAAAAAGGUAAUAGAGCAAUUAAGAGUACGAGUGAUUUUGCUGAUGGAAAUAAGAUUAAAAGGACAUUCAGGAGUAUAAAGGACAGAAGUGAGAGAUAGAGAAGGCAGAGGAAGGGCCAAACCAAUACCUUUAGCUACAGUUUGAGAACCAUUAGCUAAGGUAACAGUAGGUAUAUCAGAGGUAGUAGUAAUAGAGGAGAAAAGAUCCUUAUUACCAGAUAGGUGAUCAGAAGCUCCAGAAUCUAGAAUCCAGGGUCCAAGAGAAGAUGUGUGGGUAAGGCAGACAGAAACAUUACCAGGCUGGACAACAGAGGCAACAGAAGCCUGAGAUGCCUGAGAUGCGGAGAAGCUCGGAGGCUGAGGCAGUUGAGAAUCAGAGGACUGGGCCACAUGGGCAGUGUGAGGAGGCCGUCCAUGUAACUGAUAGCAACAAUCGCGACUGUGACCAAGUUUAUUGCAAUAGGUGCAAUGAGGACGUUGGCCUCUACCUCGGUUACCACUGCGUCCUCCUCGAGAGGUAGUGUGAGAAACUAACACAGAAGAAUCUGAAAUGCUAUCAGAUGGCAAAGUCUGAGUGGACGAGAUACGAAGGAGGCGAGCAAACACAUCAUCCAAGAACAGAACUGAUGAACUACCAAGAAUUUGAU